UACAGAGGUCCCAAGCGUUGUUCGGAUUCACUGGGCGUAAAGGGUGCGUAGGUGGUGAGGUAAGUCGGAUGUGAAAUCUCGGAGCUCAACUCCGAAACUGCAUUCGAUACUGCCGUGCUUGAGGACUGGAGAGGAGACUGGAAUUUACGGUGUAGCGGUGAAAUGCGUAGAUAUCGUAAGGAAGACCAGUGGCGAAGGCGGGUCUCUGGACAGUUCCUGACGCUGAGGCACGAAGGCCAGGGGAGCAAACGGG
rnacentral:rRNA from 1 species